GAUGAACGCUGGCGGCGUGCUUAACACAUGCAAGUCGAACGAUGAAGCCCAGCUUGCUGGGUGGAUUAGUGGCGAACGGGUGAGUAACACGUGAGUAACCUGCCCUUAACUCUGGGAUAAGCCUGGGAAACUGGGUCUAAUACCGGAUAGGAGCGUCCACCGCAUGGUGGGUGUUGGAAAGAUUUAUCGGUUUUGGAUGGACUCGCGGCCUAUCAGCUUGUUGGUGAGGUAAUGGCUCACCAAGGCGACGACGGGUAGCCGGCCUGAGAGGGGGACCGGCCACACUGGGACUGAGACACGGCCCAGACUCCUACGGGAGGCAGCGGGGGGGAAUAUUGCACAAUGGGCGCAAGCCUGAUGCAGCGACGCCGCGUGUGGGAUGACGGCCUUCUGGUUGUAAACCGCUUUCAGUAGGGAAGAAGCGAAAGUGACGGUACCUGCAGAAGAAGCACCGGCUAACUACGUG
rnacentral:rRNA from 1 species